UGCGGCGCUAUGCGCCGUCGGGUGCACGACGUGUUCACCCGAAUAUGGGGCUGUAGCUCAGCUGGGAGAGCACUGCUUUGCAAGCAGGGGGUCAGCGGUUCGAUCCCGCUCAGCUCCACCAUUCGAUUGGUGUUGAACUGGCGGAUAUUAUCCUUGGAGAAAAAAUAGGUUUGCAUCGUCUCCAUCGUGAGACGGAUGCCUGUUCUGCUUACAUUGUGAAGAGAAGAUAUGUCUGGAAGCUUCCAGGUGUUGAUGGUGAUCGAAAGGUUGCCUGAGACGUCCGAGCCCAGUCCCGAAGAAGCCAUGGAUGGUCUAGCCGACCGGAAGUGGAAGAGGGUCUGGAGGUAGGAGGGAAGUCUUGUCCUUUGAGGCAUGAUCGUUGUUGGGGUGUUCUUCGGAACGCGCCUCUGAUGGUCGUGUCGGAUUGGUGUUGCCUGACCGCGCAUCACCGGACAGAUCUCGAGAAGCUGGUCUUAAGAUAUGGCCUCGAAGUCGCUCGGCGUGACUUUUGUGAGGACCAUAUCGAACACGUCGAUGGCAUUGUUAGAAAGCGCGAUUGUAAAAGGUAAUCGCGCAUAGCUGGUCUGGUGACUGCAAGGUCUCCGGAUUUUGGCUGCUGCGGCAUACGAAAGUUGCCCGGAUGGCCAGAUUUGGCACCCCUUCGAGCGCAAGCGAGGAGGAUAGGUU
rnacentral:misc_RNA from 1 species